rnacentral:tRNA from 2 species
CGCGGGAUGGAGCAGUCUGGUAGCUCGUCGGGCUCAUAACCCGAAGGUCGUCGGUUCAAAUUCCGGCUCCCGCAA